rnacentral:rRNA from 1 species
GACGAACGCUGGCGGCGUGCUUAACACAUGCAAGUCGAACGAAGAGCGAUGGAGGCUUGCUUCUUUCACUCUUCGUGGCGAACGGGUGAGUAACGUGCAAUCAACCUGCCCUUUAGAGGGGGACAACAGUUGGAAACGACUGCUAAUUACGCAUACGAUCUAAUCUCGGAAUCGAGGAUAGAUGCAAGGUGGCCUCUACAUGUAAGCUAUCACUGAAGUAGGGGAUUGCGUCUGAUUAGCUAGGUGGAGGGGUAACGGCCCACCAAGGCGAUGAUCAGUAGGCGGUCUGGGAGGGAGGACCACCACAAUUGGACUUGGACACGGCCCAAGCCUCUACGGGAAGCAGCAGUGGGGGAUCUUCCGAAAUUGAGGAAAAGCUGACGGAGGCACGCCGCGGGAGGGGAAACGGGCGUCGGGUUGGAAAGCUCUGUUAGUCGGGACGAAAGGCCUUCUGGCUAAUAGUGAGAAGGAUUGACGGUACCGGAAGAGAAAGCCACGGCUAACUACGUG